GACGAACGCUGGCGGCGUGCUUAACACAUGCAAGUCGAACGGAAAGGCCCUGCUUUUGUGGGGUGCUCGAGUGGCGAACGGGUGAGUAGCACGUGAGUAACCUGCCCUUGACUUUGGGAUAACUUCAGGAAACUGGGGCUAAUACCGGAUAGGAGCUCCUGCUGCAUGGUGGGGGUUGGAAAGUUUCGGCGGUUGGGGAUGGACUCGCGGCUUAUCAGCUUGUUGGUGGGGUAGUGGCUUACCAAGGCUUUGACGGGUAGCCGGCCUGAGAGGGUGACCGGCCACAUUGGGACUGAGAUACGGCCCAGACUCCUACGGGAGGCAGCAGUGGGGAAUAUUGCACAAUGGGCGGAAGCCUGAUGCAGCAACGCCGCGUGCGGGAUGACGGCCUUCGGGUUGUAAACCGCUUUCGCCUGUGACGAAGCGUGAGUGACGGUAAUGGGUAAAGAAGCACCGGCUAACUACGUGCCAGCAGCCGCGGUGAUACGUAGGGUGCGAGCGUUGUCCGGAUUUAUUGGGCGUAAAGGGCUCGUAGGUGGUUGAUCGCGUCGGAAGUGUAAUCUUGGGGCUUAACCCUGAGCGUGCUUUCGAUACGGGUUGACUUGAGGAAGGUAGGGGAGAAUGGAAUUCCUGGUGGAGCGGUGGAAUGCGCAGAUAUCAGGAGGAACACCAGUGGCGAAGGCGGUUCUCUGGGCCUUUCCUGACGCUGAGGAGCGAAAGCGUGGGGAGCGAACAGGCUUAGAUACCCUGGUAGUCCACGCUGUAAACGGUGGGUACUAGGUGUGGGGUCCAUUCCACGGGUUCCGUGCCGUAGCUAACGCUUUAAGUACCCCGCCUGGGGAGUACGGCCGCAAGGCUAAAACUCAAAGGAAUUGACGGGGCCCCGCACAAGCGGCGGAGCAUGCGGAUUAAUUCGAUGCAACGCGUAGAACCUUACCUGGGUUUGACAUGGAUCGGGAGUGCUCAGAGAUGGGUGUGCCUCUUUUGGGGUCGGUUCACAGGUGGUGCAUGGCUGUCGUCAGCUCGUGUCGUGAGAUGUUGGGUUAAGUCCCGCAACGAGCGCAACCCUUGUUCACUGUUGCCAGCACGUUAUGGUGGGGACUCAGUGGAGACCGCCGGGGUCAACUCGGAGGAAGGUGGGGAUGACGUCAAGUCAUCAUGCCCCUUAUGUCCAGGGCUUCACGCAUGCUACAAUGGCUGGUACAGAGAGUGGCGAGCCUGUGAGGGUGAGCGAAUCUCGGAAAGCCGGUCUCAGUUCGGAUUGGGGUCUGCAACUCGAUCUCAUGAAGUCGGAGUCGCUAGUAAUCGCAGAUCAGCAACGCUGCGGUGAAUACGUUCCCGGGGCU
rnacentral:rRNA from 1 species